CACGUAGGCACCAAGCGUUGUCCGGAUUUACUGGGCGUAAAGCGCGCGUAGGCGGCUUUGCAAGUCGGGUGUGAAAUCCCCAGGCUUAACCUGGGAACUGCAUUCGAGACUGCAUUGCUAGAGUAUGGGAGAGGGAAGUGGAAUUUCCGGUGUAGCGGUGAAAUGCGUAGAUAUCGGAAGGAACAUCAGUGGCGAAAGCGACUUCCUGGACCAAUACUGACGCUCAUGUGCGAAAGCGUGGGGAGCAAACAGG
rnacentral:rRNA from 1 species